UACGAAGGGGGCUAGCGUUGCUCGGAAUCACUGGGCGUAAAGGGUGUGUAGGCGGGUCGUUAAGUCAGGGGUGAAAUCCUGGAGCUCAACUCCAGAACUGCCUUUGAUACUGAGGAUCUUGAGUUCGGGAGAGGUGAGUGGAACUGCGAGUGUAGAGGUGAAAUUCGUAGAUAUUCGCAAGAACACCAGUGGCGAAGGCGGCUCACUGGCCCGAUACUGACGCUGAGGCACGAAAGCGUGGGGAGCAAACAGG
rnacentral:rRNA from 1 species